UGGCGGACGGGUGAGUAAUGUCUGGGAAACUGCCCGAUGGAGGGGGAUAACUACUGGAAACGGUAGCUAAUACCGCAUAACGUCGCAAGACCAAAGAGGGGGACCUUCGGGCCUCUUGCCAUCGGAUGUGCCCAGAUGGGAUUAGCUUGUAGGUAAGGUAACGGCUUACCUAGGCGACGAUCCCUAGCUGGCCUGAGAGGAUGACCAGCCACACUGGAACUGAGACACGGUCCAG
rnacentral:rRNA from 1 species